CGUAAAAGCCUGAGAAGGAGGAGUGUAGCCUACCGCAGAACAGGAGACGUUUUACUUUACCACACCUCGACUCGUGAGCUGACCGUUUUAAAGAUAUCAUGUUCGUUUGAGAGAGAAAGCGGAUUCCACACUGAUGUUACGGCCCUACAGUACCUGAGGCAGUGGAAAUCUGGGGAGACGAGCAUCCACAGGAGAUUCAGUGAGAGGGAAGAGGUGACAUUCUAAACGUUAAGAGAAAGGAAUAGAACCGGACUUGGCACUGAGCCUUGGGGGACACCCAUCUUUUUUGGGGACUGGACUGGUUGCAACGCUCUCACCAUUCCACCCUAAGCGGCGUUCUUGUUCUCCACCACGUCCUCUGCUGCCUGCAGGGCGUCCAGAGAGAACCAGGGCCUCCGGACCCACUCAGAGCAAAGCAGCAGCACAGCAGGGAUGAGCGAGUUCUGGCACAAGAUUGGCUGCUGCGUGGUGGCCAAACCUCCACCGUCAGGGCCGGUCCAGGAUAAGAUGAGGUCGAAAGGACCCAGUGCCAACGGCUGCAGGAGCAUGUUAUAGCUGCUGCCUACCAAGUAAGUACCCAGUUAAUGAAGCUAUCGCCAUAUCUGCAAUGCAAUAGCUUCUCUGGAACUGACCUUCACUUCUGGAACUGACCUUCACUUCUGGAACUGACCACCUUCACUUCUGGAACUGACCACCUUCACUUCUGGAACUGACCACCUUCACUUCUGGAACUAACCACCUUCACUUCUGGAACUAACCACCUUCACUUCUGGAACUAACCACCUUCACUUCUGGAACUAACCACCUUCACUUCUGGAACUAACCACCUUCACCCUUCUCUGGACUUGUAGAAUUAACAGUUUUCACUUCUCUCUGUAGGCAUGGAGAACCAUUUCCAUCCUCCUCUAUGCGCCCCUCUCAUCCCAAAUCAAAAGCAGUCACUGCAGCGUAACCUGUUUCUAAUGGAGCACUUGGCAAACCUGAGAGCGGACCUAAUAGAGAGCAGAGAGGCUCUUCCUGACGUCUGCAGGAUCCAUUUAGCCAAACAGGACGAUGCCCUUUCUGUGGUCACCACAAGAAUCGCCCUGCUCAGAGGAGGAUGGACUGAUGUUUUUGAUGCUUUUUAAAGAAAAGUAUUUGUCUUUCUGAUGGACUUUGGACUUCCACUGUAUUUCAGCCAACAACGUUUCUGUGUCACGGCCAGCAAGCGUGUGUGAGAGGGCCGGUGAGAGUGUUUAGCAAAAUUUGUUGACUAACAUGGCUGAUUCCAUUUCAGGAAGUGAAGAUUAUGUUCUCAAGGAUCACCUGAAUGUUGUAAACCAUUGACCUACUGCCAAACAAAUAGUAUCCAAAAUAUCUUGCGUAUCUGUCUAAUGAAUGAGGAUGCACCUUUAUUUUCCCACAGUGCAUAGUUAAAGGUGUCUUUGUGUGUGUUUAUAAGUGCAAAAUGCUAUGUGAUUUUGUUGCUGUUUAGAUGCCAGUACUGAGUAGUGUUAUUUUGAUUGUACCAGUUGCUAUAGAGCCCCAUUUGGACUGCUACCCAGUUGCCAUAGAACCCCAUUUGGACUGCUACCCAGUUGCCAUAGAACCCCAUUUGGACUGCUACCCAGUUGCCAUAGAACCCCAUUUGGACUGCUACCCAGUUGCCAUAGAACCCCAUUUGGACUGCUACCCAGUUGCCAUAGAACCCCAUUUGGACUGCUACCCAGUUGCCAUAGAACCCCAUUUGGACUGCUACCCAGUUGCAAGCAUACAGGUAACUGCCAAAAUAAAGGAAACCCCAACAUGGUGUCUUAAUAGGGCAUUGGGCACCACGAGCCAGAACCGCUUCAAUGCACCUUGGCAUAGAUUCUACAAGUAUCUGGAACGCUUGGAGGGAUGCUACACCAUUUUUUUCCACCAGAAAUUCCAUCAUUUGGUGUUUUGUUGAUGGUGGUGGAAAACGCUGUCUCAGGCUCCGCUCCAGAAUCUCCUAUAAGUGUUCAAUAAGGUUGAGAUCUGGUGACUGAGACGGCCGUGGCAUAUGGCUUACAUCCUUUUCAUGCUCAUCAAACCAUUGUGACCACUUGUGCCCAGUGGAUGGGUCAUUGUAAUCCUGGAAGAGACCACUCCCAUCAGGGUAGAUCUGUUUCACCCUACAGUAGGUAGAAGGUGAUCACUCAGAAUGGCUGUGUAUUUAUUGGAGUUUACCUUGUCCUCCAUGGGGUUGAGUGGACCUAAACCAUGCCAGGAAAAUGCACCUCCACACCAUAACAGAGCUGCCAAUAAGUACCCUCAUUUACUCAAGUGUUUCCUUUUAUUUUAGCAGGUCCCUGUAGCUGGUCACUGUGAUACACAAUUUACUAGCACCUACUCUGAAAAACCCAAACUAUUAGUCAGCGGGAAGAGUCUGUUAGUAACACGGGUUGUUGUUGAAAUUCGAAACACCCUGACCAUUACGGGGCUUUCCAGUGAUCUAUCCUGGAAUUAUGCCACUCAUUAAAUCAACUGCAUCGAAGGAACAUUCCAGAAGGUAGUUUGUUCUCUUGUCGAGGGGGAUGUCCACCCCCUUGAUCAGAAUGGAACAUUUCAACCAUUUCACUGUGCAUUCCCCUUGUAAUUUCUAUAUGGCCUCCCACUUGAGCUUGUUGUAGGUGACGUGCCCUCCAAGCUGGCUUGUGACCCACAUGACAUCCACACGAUAGUGACAUACAUUCUGAAACCAGGUGGCAGUUUUAAACAUCUGAUUUAAAUCAUACAGUAGAAAUGAAAGUUUGUUUCCUGUACACAACUGUAUUUCUGACGUGCUUAGUAUACACAAUCUGUGAAUAACUCGUCACGCUCUGUCGUUUUUUUGCUAAGUGUGUCCAUACGGGGAAAAACUCACUGUUUGAAUUGGAAUGUUUUUUUAAUAUUGUAUCUUAUGUGAUUUAGCUAGGCCAGUAUCCUAUGUGAUUUAGCUAGGCCAGUAUCCUAUACCAGAACAUAUGGCGUAUGGAUGGUGUAGAACAUGUACAGUAUGUUGUCCCUUUCACUAAUACCGUAUGUGUUUUAUACACUGGGCCUAAUGUUUACUUAAUGCUGAAGGGUGACUUUGCAUAUUGCUUGGUGGCUUUCCUAUCUUUGUUAGAGCAUGUAAUCCUGGGUAAAUUCUCAGCCCAACAGAAUGACUGCUGCCUUGAAGUUUCUUGAACAGUGUACAUUGGGAACGUCAGUCAUUUGAGUCUGUUGGCAUUUUAAGUUUCUAUCCCAUCUUUAUCAUGAUUGUUGUUAGACCAAAGCUUGAGUUCAUUAGAAAUGAUUUGUGCAACCUCUUGAUUCUUCCUGGAAAUACAGUUCACAUUCUGAAUAGAAUUCUAGGGGAGUAAUCUCUUCUGAUGUUGAAUGUUAUCACCAAAUGUGUUACUCAAUUUUCACUGCCUGGUACAGAAAUAAUAGAAUUUCAACCAACUGGUUCCAGUGGCCCCUAUGGGCUCUGCUGUGAACAUUUCUGGGAGAUUGUAUCAUUUUCAUUGAAGUUAAAGUGGGAAUCUAUAGUUGCUACAUCCAUUUUGGGAUUUAUAAAUGAUAUAUACCCAUUGAUUCUUGAAUAUCUUAUAAAUGCCUUAGUUCAACUAUAUUGUUGAUAUCAUGGAUGUUCAGUCCUUGCAUUAAUAGCUCUGAGUUUGAGAGCGGUUACAUUUCUCCAGGCCCAUCCUUCAGCGUUUUACCAAAACACAGGCAGGGUGACUGCUUUGUUAUUGUUUCAAUUAAGGAUUCUAGCUUUAAUCUCAAACUAUUUCAACAAACACAUCUCACUGAAUCCAUCUGGUAUAGCACAAAUAUUGCAAUCUAAACAAAUGCCCUAAAAUAAAUGGAAUGUACACUAUAGUCUGUGUAUGUCUCUCUUUUAAAAACAUGCAUAACAAAGAUGUUAAAUGAUGCAACUAACAAU
rnacentral:lncRNA from 1 species